rnacentral:rRNA from 1 species
UGCGUAGGCGGUUUGUUAAGUCGGAUGUGAAAGCCCUGGGCUCAACCUGGGAACUGCAUUCGAUACUGAUCGACUAGAGUACGAGAGAGGGAGGUAGAAUUCCACGUGUAGCGGUGAAAUGCGUAGAUAUGUGGAGGAAUACCGGUGGCGAAGGCGGCCUCCUGGCUCGAUACUGACGCUGAGGUGCGAAAGCGUGGGUAGCAAACAGGAUUAGAUACCCUGGUAGUCC